rnacentral:rRNA from 1 species
UACGUAGGGUGCGAGCGUUAAUCGGAAUUACUGGGCGUAAAGCGUGCGCAGGCGGUUCGUUAAGUCAGAUGUGAAAGCCCCGGGCUCAACCUGGGAACUGCAUUUGAAACUGGCGGCUUGAGUGUGGCAGAGGGGGUGGAAUUCCGCGUGUAGCAGUGAAUGCGUAGAGAUGCGGAGGAACACCGAUGGCGAAGGCAGCCCCUGGCCAACACGUGACGCUCAGGCACGAAGCGUGGGAGCAACAGG